rnacentral:rRNA from 1 species
UAAGGAAUAUUGGUCAAUGGACGCAAGUCUGAACCAGCCAUGCCGCGUGGAGGAUGAAGGCCCUCUGGGUUGUAAACUUCUUUUCUUUGGGACGAAACCCCUGUUUCUACGGGGACUGACGGUACCAGAGGAAUAAGCACCGGCUAACUCCGUGCCAGCAGCCGCGGUAAUACGGAGGGUGCAAGCGUUAUCCGGAUUCACUGGGUUUAAAGGGAGCGUAGGUGGGCUUUUAAGUCAGUGGUGAAAUCUUUGGGCUUAACCCGAAAACUGCCAUUGAUACUAUUAGUCUUGAAUUCUCUGGAGGUAAGCGGAAUAUGUCAUGUAGCGGUGAAAUGCUUAGAUAUGACAUAGAACACCCAUUGCGAAGGCAGCUUACUACGGAGACAUUGACACUGAGGCU